GGAGUUACUUUAAAAGAGGCUUUAAAUUUUCCAGUGAGAAGAUUUUUAUUUUGCUACUUCUUGUGUUUUGUUUUGCAUCUUAAUUUCUAACUUUAUUGCAGAGUGACAAAAUAAUCAGAUUUGUGUGCUUUUUGGAAUUUACUGGGAUUCCCUUUGUGGUCAGAUACAUGACUAAUUUGUAAAAGGGCCAUGGGUGCCUGGAAGAAAUGAGUCCUCACUCCACCGGGGACAAUGUGUUAUUUAUACAUAUUAGGUACAUUUCAGAACUCUAUUGUGCCUUGCACUGAAGCAAACGACUGUAUAUCUUUUUAGUGGACUGUAGCUUUUAUCAGUAUGAACUAAUCCAUGUUUACUGUAAUGCUUUCUAUUUUAUUUUUUUUUAAUUUUGGUAAAAUGCACAUAACAUAAAGUUUGCCACUUUAACCAUUUUUAAGUGUACAGUUCUAUGGCCUUAAGUACAUCACACUGUGGUGCAACCAUCACUGCCUUCCGCCCACAGAGCUCUUCUCUGUAAAACUGAAACUCUACACGUUAAGUAACAACUCGCCAUUCCUCUUUCCUCCCUGCCCGCCCCAGCAAUUGCCCCUCAACUUUCUGUCUCUGUGAACCCGAUUAUUCUACGAUCCUCAUCCUUGAGCUGCAUUGCAAAGGUCUCCAUAGUUCCCAGGCCCCAGGAAAUGGAGCACAAAGGCAGAAGAACAUUUACCUCUCCACGCUGUCACUGACUGAUGUCUCAUCUAGGACCUCCUCAAAGUGUUGUGCUCCCUCAGGCAAGGGGAUGCGAUGGCAGACCCUCAAAGGCACCAGGCCACCCUUUGCCCUCCACAACUCAGCGCUGACACAUCAUUGGCUGCUGGACUGGCAUGGGAGAUCAUGACUCGAAGAGACUAGCUGAUACUCUUGAAGGGUCCUGGACGAACAAGCGACCACAGGUUUUUCAUCAAAAAGUAGCCAGCCCCUUAGAGAAAUGGUUUCCAGUUUCAUCUUUCCAUCACAUUUCACCUAUUAAACAACAGAGCGACACAAUUUUGAAAAGGUCAAAGACUGUAAUGUUACCCAUGACAAACAUGUUGGAAGCAAGUUUCACUAAAAUGGAGGAAAAGGAGAAACUCAGAUUUGAUGGUUAUAGGCCAAAACCACCACCUGGAGUCUCACUGGUGUGUUUGUCAGGUGGCCUUUGUUUCUCAAAUAACCAUUCAUAUACAUUUAUACGGGUUGUUCACAAUCAAUAUAUUUUUUUAAGUUUUUAGUUAUUUAUUUUGAGAGAGAGAGAAGGAGGGGCAGAGAGAGAGGGAGAGAGACAG